rnacentral:rRNA from 1 species
CCUACGGGGGCUGCAGUGAGGAAUAUUGGUCAAUGGGCGCGAGCCUGAACCAGCCAAGUAGCGUGAAGGAUGACUGCCCUACGGGUUGUAAACUUCUUUUAUAAAGGAAUAAAGUGAGGCACGUGUGCCUUUUUGUAUGUACUUUAUGAAUAAGGAUCGGCUAACUCCGUGCCAGCAGCCGCGGUAAUACGGAGGAUGCGAGCGUUAUCCGGAUUUAUUGGGUUUAAAGGGUGCGUAGGCGGGCAUUUAAGCCGGCGGUCAAAUGUCGGGGCUCAACCCCGGCCUGCCGUCGGAACUGGCAGUCUUGAGUACAGUUGAGGUAGGCGGAAUUCGUGGUGUAGCGGUGAAAUGCUUAGAUAUCACGCAGAACUCCGAUUGCGAAGGCAGCAUACCGGCGCCCAACUGACGCUGAAGCACGAAAGCGUGGGUAUCGAACAGGAUUAGAUACCCUUGUAGUC